GGUGGCUCAGUGGUAGAGUGCUUGCCUCACAUGCAAGAGGCCUGGCUUUGAUUCCUCAGCACCA
rnacentral:tRNA from 1 species